rnacentral:lncRNA from 1 species
AGGGGAUUGGCUGGCGCGCAGGGCGGACGGGAGGAGGGGCUACGGGGCGGGGCGAGGGCGCGGUAAAUGGCGCUCUGAGUACUUUCUGUCUCAGUCCGGCUGGCCGCUCACGCGUCGGGCCCCCAUUUACUCUCGUUACUGAGGAGACACGGCUCCAGUUUUGACCCGACUACGGUUGUUUUCUUCGUGUGUACCGCGAAAUGCUGAUGACGUCCGGUUCCGCGCAGUUUUUUUCCUAUUUCGUUUCCAACCACAGUUGUGCGGUUCACAGAUUUUUCCCUUGGGAUGUGUUUUCCAUACCUCCAAGCCCACUCUCAGAGCCUUGGGGCCCCAUAAAACUUCAUGCGCAGCUGCUUUCUGAUGUCCACCUUAAUGCCAGAAAUGAGCGGAGUUUCCCUUUGUUGUGCAAAAUGACUGUGUCCUUGAGGGAUGUUUGGAUGCUCUUGGUAAACCGGAAUCAGCCAGAAGCAUAUCCGGUGUUAGCCUUGUUGUGUCAUCAACAUUACAACAGUGAGGAAACCCACAUAUUCCAAUGAAAGAGGAAAACUUAAAGAAGAAGUUUCCAGUGUAUUUUCUUUGAGAUAUAUUUAUUCCUAUGACCUCAGAAGAUCAGCUUUUACCGUCCAAGGUUCACUUUGCCUAAAAGCUGAUUGUUCCUGUGGAAACAGUAGCAUCGGAUGACCCUACAAACAAAGCAUUAUGACAUCAUCAGAGCCAACAACCUGGCAUGACAGAUACUAAUAAGGAAAAAAGAGGUUACAAGAAUUCUGACACUCAUCACAGUGGAUCCAAUAUCUGGUCCCUUGGGUUUCAUAUAUGUUAGAAGUAUCUUCUCAGGAGGGAAAAGUCAAUGCCAGUCAUAUCCUUUCUAGCUAUUAGAAAUGUCCAUCAGCUUACGAGGAGAUUCUCCCUCAUCUCACAAACUACCUGCAUCUCCACUUCCCUGGAAGAAAAAAAAAAUCUGGACAUACCCAAGCUGUGUAUGUGCCUGAGAUCUUCCCUUCCAAGGUAAAGAGAGAGCCUGAGACAGGUCUAAAUUAGCAUCUGGACUUUCUGCUAGUAAAGAAAAGGAAAUAUGGGAAACUAAAUAGUAACAUUAAAGGACCCACAAAGGGACUACUGGUUGUUUGUUUUCUGGUCUUCCUGAAAACCAAGAUGCUGUGCGAAAAACCCUGGAUUGGGAACCAGAAGAGGUGCCACCACAGGUAACCAUCAGAGAACACACUGCUAUUUUCAAAUAAACAGAACUGAACAAAAGCAUUUUA